GUGGGGAAUAUUGGACAAUGGGCGAAAGCCUGAUCCAGCCAUGCCGCGUGUGUGAAGAAGGUCUUCGGAUUGUAAAGCACUUUAAGUUGGGAGGAAGGGCAGUAAGUUAAUACCUUGCUGUUUUGACGUUACCGACAGAAUAAGCACCGGCUAACUUCGUGCCAGCAGCCGCGGUAAUACGAAGGGUGCAAGCGUUAAUCGGAAUUACUGGGCGUAAAGCGCGCGUAGGUGGUUCAGUAAGUUGGAAGUGAAAUCCCCGGGCUCAACCUGGGAACUGCUUUCAAAACUGCUGAGCUAGAGUACGGUAGAGGGUGGUGGAAUUUCCUGUGUAGCGGUGAAAUGCGUAGAUAUAGGAAGGAACACCAGUGGCGAAGGCGACCACCUGGACUGAUACUGACACUGAGGUGCGAAAGCGUGGGGAGCAAACAGGAUUAGAUACCCGUGUAGUCC
rnacentral:rRNA from 1 species